rnacentral:rRNA from 1 species
GUCGACGRAGCCUUCGGGUUUAGNGGCSCACGGRUGCGUAACGCGUGGGAAUCUGCCCCUUGGUUCGGAMUAWCAGUUGGAAACGACUGCYWAUACCGGAUGAUGACGUAAGUCCAAAGAUUUAUCGCCGAGGGAUGAGCCCGCGUAGGAUUAGGYAGUUGGUGUGGUAAAGGCGCACCAAGCCGACGAUCCUUAGCUGGUCUGAGAGGAUGAUCWGCCACACUGGGACUGAGACACGGCCCAGACUCCUACGGGAGGCAGCAGUGGGGAAUAUUGGACAAUGGGCGAAAKCCUGAUCCARCAAUGCCGCGUGAGUGAUGAAKGCCUUAGGGUYGUAAAGCUCUUUUMCCCGGGAUGAUAAUGACASUACCGGGAGAAUAASCYCCGGCUAACUCCRUGCCAGCWGCCGCGGUAAUACGGAGGGASCUAGCGUUAUYCGGAAUUACUGGGCGUAAAGCGCACGUAGGCGGCUUUGUAAGUAAGASGUGAAAGCCCAGAGCUCAACUCUGGAAUUGCCUUUUAGACUGCAUCGCUUGAAUCAUGGAGAGGUCAGUGGAAUUCCGAGUGUAGASGUGAAAUUCGUAGAUAUUCGGAAGAACACCAGUGGCGAAGGCGGCUGACUGGACAUGUAUUGACGCUGAGGUGCGAAAKCGUGGGGAGCAAACWGGAUUAKAUACCCUGGUASUCCACGCCSUAAACGAUGAUAACUAGCUGUCCGGGGACUUGGUCUUUGGGUGGCGCAGCUAACGCAUUAAGUUAUCCGCCUGGGGAGUACGGCCGYAAGGUUAAAACUCMAAUGAAUUGACGGGGGCCUGCACAAGCGRUGGAGCAUGUGGUUUAAUUCGAAGCRACGCGCAGAACCUUACCAGCGUUUGACAUGGCASGACGACUUCUGGAGACAGAUUUCUUCCCUUCGGGGACCUGCACACAGGUGCUGCAUGGCUGUCGUCAGCUCGUGUCGYGAGAUGUUGGGUUAACUCCGKCAACGAGCGCAACCCUCGACCUUAGUUGCCAUCAUUUAGUUGGGCACUUUAAGGUAACCGCCGGUGAUAACCCCGAGGAAGGUGGGGAUGACGUCAAGUCCUCAUGGCCCUUACSCGCUGGGCUAC